rnacentral:snoRNA from 2 species
GGUUGGCUGGAAUGAUGAAUCAAUUAGAUGUGUGAAGUCGCCUUAUGAGCUUAACUUUUGAGGCAUAUAAUUUGUCUGACUGGCCAAUC